rnacentral:rRNA from 1 species
CCUACGGGUGGCUGCAGUGGGGAAUAUUGGGCAAUGGGCGCAAGCCUGACCCAGCCACGCCGCGUGAAGGAAGAAGGCAUUCGGGUUGUAAACUUCUUUUAGGAGGGAAGCGCAGACGACGAUACCUCUUGGAUAAGCCGCGGCUAACGACGUGCCAGCAGCCGCGGGAAUGCCGGGGUGGCAAGCGUUAUCCGGAUUUACUGGGUGUAAAGGGCGUGCAGCCGGGAAGGAAAGUCCAGUGGGAAAGCCCGGGGCGCAACCGCGGAACUGCAUUUGAAACUGUUUUUCUCGAGUACCGGAGAGGUCAUCGGAAUGCCUUGUGUAGCGGUGAAAUGCGUAGAUAUAAGGAAGAACACCAGUGGCGAAGGCGGAAGACCGGACGGCAACUGACGGUGAGGCGCGAAAGCGUGGGGAGCAAACAGGAUUAGAUACCCGUGUAGUC